GCAUUACAAUGGGGUAGUGGUAACCUAGGUCGUUGCCAUGGGCGAGAAGCAAAGAACUUCUUUCGACCCGCCGGGGGUUCGGUUCCCUCUAAUGCA